rnacentral:sRNA from 1 species
UAGAUAUUUCAUUCGUGUCCUUGAGAG